AAUGGAGAGUUUGAUCCUGGCUCAGGAUGAACGCUGGCGGCGUGCCUAAUACAUGCAAGUCGAACGCUUCACUUCGGUGAAGAGUGGCGAACGGGUGAGUAAUACAUAAGUAACCUGGCAUCUACAGGGGGAUAACUGAUGGAAACGUCAGCUAAGACCGCAUAGGUGUAGAGAUCGCAUGAACUCUAUAUGAAAAGUGCUACGGGACUGGUAGAUGAUGGACUUAUGGCGCAUUAGCUGGUUGGUAGGGUAACGGCCUACCAAGGCGACGAUGCGUAGCCGACCUGAGAGGGUGACCGGCCACACUGGGACUGAGACACGGCCCAGACUCCUACGGGAGGCAGCAGUAGGGAAUUUUCGGCAAUGGGGGAAACCCUGACCGAGCAACGCCGCGUGAAGGAAGAAGUAAUUCGUUAUGUAAACUUCUGUCAUAGAGGAAGAACGGUGGAUAUAGGGAAUGAUAUCCAAGUGACGGUACUCUAUAAGAAAGCCACGGCUAACUACGUGCCAGCAGCCGCGGUAAUACGUAGGUGGCGAGCGUUAUCCGGAAUUAUUGGGCGUAAAGAGGGAGCAGGCGGCACUAAGGGUCUGUGGUGAAAGAUCGAAGCUUAACUUCGGUAAGCCAUGGAAACCGUAGAGCUAGAGUGUGUGAGAGGAUCGUGGAAUUCCAUGUGUAGCGGUGAAAUGCGUAGAUAUAUGGAGGAACACCAGUGGCGAAGGCGACGAUCUGGCGCAUAACUGACGCUCAGUCCCGAAAGCGUGGGGAGCAAAUAGGAUUAGAUACCCUAGUAGUCCACGCCGUAAACGAUGAGUACUAAGUGUUGGGAGUCAAAUCUCAGUGCUGCAGUUAACGCAAUAAGUACUCCGCCUGAGUAGUACGUUCGCAAGAAUGAAACUCAAAGGAAUUGACGGGGGCCCGCACAAGC
rnacentral:rRNA from 1 species